CCUACGGGAGGCAGCAGUGGGGAAUAUUGGACAAUGGGGGCAACCCUGAUCCAGCCAUGCCGCGUGUGUGAAGAAGGCCUUUUGGUUGUAAAGCACUUUAAGCAGGGAGGAGAGGCUAAUGGUUAAUACCCAUUAGAUUAGACGUUACCUGCAGAAUAAGCACCGGCUAACUCUGUGCCAGCAGCCGCGGUAAUACAGAGGGUGCGAGCGUUAAUCGGAAUUACUGGGCGUAAAGCGAGUGUAGGUGGCUCAUUAAGUCACAUGUGAAGUCCCCGGGCUUAACCUGGGAACUGCAUGUGAUACUGGUGGUGCUAGAAUAUGUGAGAGGGAAGUAGAAUUCCAGGUGUAGCGGUGAAAUGCGUAGAGAUCUGGAGGAAUACCGAUGGCGAAGGCAGCUUCCUGGCAUAAUAUUGACACUGAGAUUCGAAAGCGUGGGUAGCAAACAGGAUUAGAUACCCUGGUAGUCCACGCCGUAAACGAUGUCUACUAGCCGUUGGGGUCCUUGAGACUUUAGUGGCGCAGUUAACGCGAUAAGUAGACCGCCUGGGGAGUACGGCCGCAAGGUUAAAACUCAAAGUGAAUUGACGGNGNGAGAGNGCGAGGACGACGACGAGGGAGGAG
rnacentral:rRNA from 1 species